GAAGUAAAAGUCGUAACAAGGUUUCCGUAGGUGAACCUGCGGAAGGAUCAUUAUUGAAUAAACCUGAUGGGUUGUUGCUGGUUCUUCUCUAAGAACAGGUGCACGCCUGUCAUCUUUAUAUCUCCACCUGUGCACCCAUUGUAGACCUGCAUAGUUCUCUGAAUGCGCUGGUAUUCAGGUUUGAGGAUUGGCUCUCUGUCUCUCCUUACAUUUUCAGGUCUAUGUUUCUUCAUAUACCCCAGUUUUAUGUUAUAGAAUGUAAUCAAUGGGCCGUUGUGCCUAUAAAACUAUACAACUUUCAGCAACGGAUCUCUUGGCUCUCGCAUCGAUGAAGAACGCAGCGAAAUGCGAUAAGUAAUGUGAAUUGCAGAAUUCAGUGAAUCAUCGAAUCUUUGAACGCACCUUGCGCUCCUUGGUAUUCCGAGGAGCAUGCCUGUUUGAGUGUCAUUAAUAUAUCAACCUCUUCAGCGUUUUUGCUUGUUGAGUGUUGGAUGUGGGGGGUUUUCUUUGCUGGUCUUUUAUGAGGUCAGCUCCCCUAAAAUGCAUUAGCAGAACAAGUUGUUGACUGUUCAUUGGUGUGAUAACUAUCUACGCUAUUGAACAGUAGGCCAGUUCAGCUUCUAAUAGUCCAUUAACUUGGACAGGUUUCAUUAAUGUGACCUCAAAUCAGGUAGGACUACCCGCUGAACUUAAGCAUAUC
rnacentral:rRNA from 1 species